rnacentral:rRNA from 1 species
GACAGAGGUGGCAAGCGUUGCUCGGAAUUACUGGGCUUAAAGGGUGUGUAGGCGGUUGGUUAAGCAUUCUGUGAAAGCCCUCGGCUCAACUGAGGAACUGCAGGAUGUACUGGCUGACUUGAGGCGCGUAGAGGUCACUGGAACUCUGGGUGGAGCGGUGAAAUGCGUAGAUAUCCAGGGGAACGCCAAUGGCGAAGGCAGGUGACUGGGCGCGUCCUGACGCUGAGGCACGAAAGCGUGGGGAG